rnacentral:rRNA from 1 species
UACGAAGGGUGCAAGCGUUGCUCGGAAUUAUUGGGCGUAAAGCGCACGUAGGCGGCUUGGCAAGUCGGAUGUGAAAUCCCUCGGCUCAACCAAGGAAGUGCAUCCGAAACUGCUGAGCUUGAGUACUUAAGAGGAUCGCGGAAUUCCCGGUGUAGAGGUGAAAUUCGUAGAUAUCAGGAGGAACACCGGUGGCGAAGGCGGGUCUCUGAGCCGAUACUGACGCUGAGGAGCGAAAGCGUGGGGAGCAAACAGG